UACAGAGGGUGCGAACGUUGUUCGGAAUUACUGGGCAUAAAGAGCACGUAGGCGGCACCGCAAGUGUGGGGUGAAAUCCCACGGCUUACCCGUGGAACUGCCUGGCAGACUGCGGUGCUAGAGGUUGGUAGGGGAGAGCGGAACUCUUGGUGGAGCGGUGAAAUGCGUAGAUAUCAGGAAGAACACCCGUGGCGAAGGCGGCUCUCUGGGACGGUACUGACGCUGAGACGCGAAAGCGUGGGGAGCGAACAGG
rnacentral:rRNA from 1 species